AAAUAUAAUGUAAGACAAAAAAAGUCAAGAUCACAUAUAAAAUGUGAUCUUCACCUAACACUGAUCGAUGUCUUUGCCGUGCAAAAAGCUUGCAGGCAAGAUCAGUGAUUCUUUACAAAUAGUUCAUUGAGAUUUCUUAAAAAGUCAGGGCAGCACAGAGGCUGCUGCUCCACGAUUCUGCUAGUCUCAGUGGUCUCCUUACAAAGACGGGCGGCUGGAGGCUGCCAGCUCACUUUAAGAGCAGCUUUGUGAAAAACAACCCCAGUGCGCAUGCGCACGCCGCGGCUGCUGUCCGCCCUCCCUGCGCGUCCCCUCCCGCGCCCGGCUCGCUCCCUCGCUCGCUCGCGGGUACAGUAGGUGUACAGCUAAGGGAAGAAGACACGGGCUGUCGGGAGGCUGAACCUGACUUCUCUUCAUUGUGGGCUCCUAUUGGAUUUUGUGACUCUGACUUAACUCUUUAACAUCCUCGAAAUACAAUGACUUUGGCGCAAAGACUGGAGGCAAGAUUUGCAAUGUUAUUAGCAAAAUAAGUGAGUUUUUUAUAUUUGAUAGUUAAUUAGAUGGUGUAUUUAUGUUCUUCAUACUUAAUAGACAUUAAAUGUAUUCUGAAUUUCAUCAUAAAUUUCAGUUCCAAAUUUCUAUUUCUGUUCUCCCUCCUCAUUAAGAUGUGGUAUGUGUUGUGUGAACACCAGUUGAUCUUUUAUUUUUGAUGUCUUUUUUUUUUAAAGUAUGUUUUUUCUUUUUAAAGGUUAUUUUAUUUAUUUAGAGAGAGAAAGGGAAAGAGAAAAUCAGGAAUCCAGUGCUUAACCAACUGAGCCACACAGGUACCCCUUGAUUUUUUAAUUUACAGUAAGGUCAUCCAUAAUUCUAUCCACCAAGAUAUACCACUGUUAACAUUUUGUUACAUUUCCAUCUAGAUAUACAACUAAUAAAGAAUUAUUAAUAAUAAGCAUUAUUGCAUUGCUGGUGAAGUAAAGACAAUGAUUCAUAUCAAUUAGAAUUCUCUGACAACAGAUUUGAUUAGUGGCUCCAAGGGAAAAAUCUCUUGAAUGAAUUUGUAACACUUAGGUCCUGCUAAAUUAGAUGACUUGGUAAAGUUUAUUCAUGUAGGCUUGAGUGGCAUUGGGCCUAUGGGGAGAAUCAGAAAUGCUAAGUUUCUUUUUUGAACUAUUUUAUGACUUUUGACCUGGCACAACUUUAUGUAAUGAAU
rnacentral:lncRNA from 1 species